rnacentral:lncRNA from 1 species
CUCCCCUGGUGCUGCAGCUCCGUGGAAGGAUCCCGAGUGCCCCGCCCCCUGGGUCUGGCACCCUCACCAUCUGCUGCUACAAGGGGCCACUCUGGGGGCUGAGGUGGGGGGCCAUGGGGAGGGGGAGCAGCGGCCGGAAGGUGACCUGGAAGCCCUUGGUCCCUUCCCGUGGGUUUUAGCAGGGAGCCUGGCGCUGCUACUCGUCCCCUGGGAUGCUCAGGACUUCCCAAAGCUGUCACGGGGAGGGCUCGGUGACGGCAGCGGAGGACAAGUUCCCCUGCCACGAGCUUACCUGAGGGCGGCCGGGGAAGCCAGCAUCGCAGAGCUUGGUUUGCCGAAAGCCAGUCCAGCAGCCUGCACAGCGAAGGGGCAGACAUAUCCUACCGUCCCAGGAGAGAAGAGGAAGGAAGCAUCUCCAUUCUACACCGCGCGGCUGUAAAAUCUUCGUGGCUCUCAUUUCCUUGGGCUCCACUUGCAAGACCUUCACUCUUGCCUCCUCUUUUCUAGAGCACCUGUGUGCAGACAGGUGCAACAGGAUGCUGCAUCUGAGCACAGCCAAUGAAAAGACACUAUUUCUGAUCUUCAUUUACAUAUGGCAGGAAGCCCAGCAAGGUUUUUGAUGGGACAGUUUCUACGUGGUGUGACCCCAAAGGCCAAGGAAGACUCCCAAAGGGUCUGGUUCCUGUGGGGGGAGCAGGUGUGGGCUCUGGGAGAGGGGAACCCACAUAGAACGACUUUUCAGCUGCACAGGGCGCUGGGCAUUCUGCAUCCCGGUCCGGUCCAGUCCAGUACAGCAAGCGAGCAGGAAACGCAGUGCCAACAGCACUGGCUGAAGACUGAUAGGAGCACAUGGAACCCUUCUGCCUCAGAACCCACCACGUACACGACUGCUCAGUGAACUAUUUACGAGAGUUUCCCACUAGGGACAAAAUCCAACUUUACACAAAGAGACUUUAUACGGAGGAGCAGCGAUCCCCUGAUUUCCACGUGGUUUCUUUCUGGCUUCAGGCAUGUGACCUGCCUGUGUCACUGUGUGUCUAGCUCUUUCUUUAGACUUGUAGUACGCCAUCUAUCCUAGAGGAUUUGAGACACAAAGCUUCCGUGCCUAUGCAGAAAGUCACUGAAAGCUUAAACUCCUUGUGAAAAAAAAAAUCCAAAUCUAGUGAUACUGAAGGAAGAGGGGAAGGGAAAACUUGAAGAGGAAAAAUGAAAUAAAACACCCUAAAGCUUAAUCAAAUUUCAGUGACUGUGUCUCUUUGGCAUAGUGCUGGAUCUUCCAGUGACGGCCCACACGUCAUCGGCUCUGGCGAAGCUCCGUGUGUUGCUGCUGCGCCCUUCUCCUGGGGCCGCGGCAGUGGACAGCAGCUUCGAAAACACCACUGUCACACGGUGAUUCCAGAAUUGGCAGCAGCAGAUCACUCAUUAGGUAGAUUUUAAUGUGGCUCUGGGACAUGUUCCUGGAAGCUUGAACAGGGCCUGUUUCCUCAGUCUUUCAGAUGAGCUUUUGAAUUUUUGUUUCUGUUUUUUGGUUUUUUUUUUUGAGACAGGGUCUCACUGUGCAGUUCAGGCUGACUGGAACUCACUAGGUAACUCAGGAGAUCCUCCUGCCUCAGCCUCCCAAGUACUGGGAUUGCAGACAUGUGCCAUGAGGCCCA